rnacentral:misc_RNA from 1 species
GGAAUAAAAGUCGUAACAAGGUCUCCGUUGGUGAACCAGCGGAGGGAUCAUUACCGAGUGCAAACUCAUAACCCUUUGUGAACCUAUAUCUGUUGCUUCGGCGGCUCGCUCUCGGGCGAGCCCGCCGGUAAUAUCAGUAUCUCUGUUUGAACCCGACGAUACUUCUGAGUGUUCUUAGCGAACAGUUAAAACUUUUAACAACGGAUCUCUUGGCUCUA